rnacentral:rRNA from 1 species
GUCUUUUUGAGUUUAAUUUAAAGUCUAAUCUGCCCACUGAUAAAAUAUUUAAGGGCCGCAGUAUUCUGACUGUGCAAAGGUAGCAUAAUCAUUAGUCUUUUAAUUGAGGGCUUGUAUGAAUGAUUGGACGAGAUAUAAGCUGUCUCAUGAAAAUUUAAGUAGAAUUUUAUUUUUUAGUCAAAAAGCUAAAAUAAAUUUAAAAGACGAGAAGACCCUAUAGAUCUUUAUAAUUUAUUUUUAAAUUUUUUUAGGUUAUUUUUUGAAUUUAUAAAUUAAAUUAUUUUGUUGGGGUGACAAUGAAAUUUACUAAACUUUCAUUAUUUUGAAACAUUAAUUUAUGAUUAAUUGAUCCACUAUUAGUGAUUAAAAAUUUAAGUUACCUUAGGGAUAACAGCGUAAUUAUUUUGGAGAGUUCUUAUCGAUAAAAUAGUUUGCGACCUCGAUGUUGGAUUAAGAUUAAUUCUGGGUGUAGCACUUCAGAUUAUUAAGUCUGUUCGACUUUUAAUUUCUU